rnacentral:rRNA from 1 species
CCUACGGGUGGCUGCAGUAAGGAAUAUUGGUCAAUGGACGCAAGUCUGAACCAGCCAUGCCGCGUGGAGGAUGAAGGUCCUCUGGAUUGUAAACUUCUUUUAUUUGGGAAGAAACUCCCGAUUUCCAUCGGGAUUGACGGUACCAGAUGAAUAAGCACCGGCUAACUCCGUGCCAGCAGCCGCGGUAAUACGGAGGGUGCGAACGUUAUCCGGAUUCACUGGGUUUAGGGGGGGAGGUGAGUCGCAGGUGAAAUCUCCGGGCUGAACCCGGAAACUGCCAUUGAUACUAUGUGUCUUGAAUACUCUGGAGGUGAGCGGAAUAUGUCAUGUAGCGGUGAAAUGCUUAGAUAUGACAUAGAACACCCAUUGCGAAGGCAGCUCACUACGGAAAGAUUGACGCUGAGGCACGAAAGCGUGGGGAUCAAACAGGAUUAGAUACCCCAGUAGUC